rnacentral:rRNA from 1 species
UACAGAGGGUGCGAGCGUUGUCCGGAAUCACUGGGCGUAAAGGGCGCGUAGGCGGCGCGGUAAGCGUGCGUGAAAGUCAAGGCGUCAACCCUGGAAAGCGGGUGGAUACUGCCGGGCUAGAAUCCGGAAGAGGCGAGUGGAAUUCCUGGUGUAGCGGUGGAAUGCGCAGAUAUGUGGAGGAAUACCGAUGGCGAAGGCAGCCCCCUGGGAUAACACUGACGCUCAUGCACGAAAAGCGUGGGGAGCAAACAGG